AUGUACAAACAGACUCCAUCUUGUACAAACAGACUCCAUCUUGUACAAACAGACUCCAUCUUGUACAAAGACUCCAUCUUGUACAAACAGACUCCAUCUUGUACAAACAGACUCCCAUCUUGUACAAACAGACUCCAUCUGUACAAACAGACUCAUCGUGUACAAACAGACUCCAUCGUGUACAAAGACUCCAUCGUGUACAAACAGACAUCACGUGUAACAAACAGACUCCAUCGUGUACAAAGACUCCCAUCCUGUACAACGUCCUCCUGUACAAAGACUCCAUCCUGUACAAACAGACCCAUCAUGUACAAAACAGACUCCAUCAUGUAUAAACAGAUUCCAUCAUGUACAAACAGAUUCCAUCAUGUACAAACAGACUCCAUGUACCAGCAGACUCCAUCAUGUACAG
rnacentral:lncRNA from 1 species